GUGCUCGCUUUGGCAGCACGUAUACUAAAAUUGGAAAGAUACAGAGAUUAGCAGGGCCCCUGCACCAGGAUAACACACAAAGUCAUGAAGCGUUUCAUAUGUUU
ensembl:snRNA U6 U6 spliceosomal RNA